rnacentral:lncRNA from 1 species
GAGCACCCAGGAUGUGUUUUCAUUGGAAUUAGCUAGCCCUGGGAAAGACAGUCCCUCCAGAGUUAGCAACACCCCAAGAUGUCAAAGAUAAAAAUGCAAAAAUUAAAACUCCAUGAUUAACACAACUUUGAAGUCCUUCUCACUUGUCUUUAGAUGAAGGGCAACAUCAUUGCAACAAGUCACACUUUGAGAACUCAAGAGAAUAUGUUUGUUCUGAAAAUCCAGGAAUUAUUGCCAACCCAUGGUUGUCUCCAUAUGUCUUGGGAAAAAUAGGAAAAGGAUUUUUUGAGUUGGUGAUUUGAAUCCAAGACACAAAGAUUCAGGCUCUGGUAAAAAGAUUGUAUAGGCUAUAUUGGCUGACAUAAAAGAGACAUAAAAGGCACACAAUGAAAUCUUAAUAAAUGUAUUGGAUGUUGCAGCAUUAACUGAUGAGCCAGACAAUGUAAAGACCUCAGACUACCAAAUGUUUUGAAAGACGAAUAGUGAAUGUGAAACUGUGAACCAAAAUAGAUUUUUAGAAUCCUUGAAAAAAUAGAGCUAGAGAAAGUCUUUGAGACCAUUGAUUGCAAAUAUUUGAGUUUACAACUGAGCAAAUGGAGAAAAGAGAAGUGACUCGUCAGUCCAACAAGUGGCAGAAUCAGAACCAGACCCCAAUGCUUGGGUCUUCUGUCCCUCCUGGCACCAAAGUCACCUAUCAUAAGUAACUUGAGUUUCAGAGGGGAAGGAAAAGACUACAAUGUCCCAGCACUGUUCCAGACACUUUUUAGGGGACUCCAAGACACCUUGUGUAAUGCCUAUUUUAAGUAGCUGGAAGAUUCUAUAGCAUGGGAAAAGCCCACUGAAGGCAAAAGUAAACAUUACCUAUUGUGGUCCUGGAAAAGAAAAUCAUCUCUCAUUUAUCUCCUGGAGCUGUUUGACGAACUUGUGCCCUGGUUUUACUUUGGGAGCCACCUUUCUCUUUCAGGUGCUGUCUCAGUGGAAUAGUCAACCAAUGUAUCCUACAUUUUGGACCAGCAGAAGGAAGUAAUGAGAACAGAAAACAAAUAAGAAGUGAGUUGGAGGGAGAAGGAGACUUUAGCAUCUUCCUGAAAUCAGGAAGAAAGUUUCAAGAAUAAAGUAAUCCAUAGGGUCAAAUACUGCAGUAAGUUUAAUUAGGAUGAAGACUGCAAAGAUGGUAUUAGUUUGGUACUUAGGACAUUGGUGACCUCCACAGGUGACUUUCAGGAGAAUUAUCUGGGGAACUUGUUGAUAGAAUUUGUGAAUCUCCACCUUUAGGGAUUCUGAUUUAGAAGGAGUAGGAAGAAGGCCUUAGGAUCUCCAUUUAUAACAACCACUACUGAUUAUUUUGAGGCAGGUAGCAUACAGACCACAUUUGAAAGAAACACUAGGUAAGUGUGAUUUUCAUUCAAAGGACAAAAAACAUAAAGUUACCUAAUUCAGGGACCAUUUCAAAGACCAAAUCAAAUCAGUAGCCUGGCUGAUCUGAUCGACUGCGCAGAAACUAGCCAUUACCAUGGCAAAGUGGGGAGGAACAGUCAAUAAAAAGCAAUUGAUGGCCAGGCGCGGUGGCUCACGCCUGUAAUCCCAGCACUUUGGGAGGCCAAGGCGG